GGAUGAGCAUUAACAUUUCAUUCACUUCGCUCAAUUUUCACUCGGUUCAAGGAAAAGAAAUGAGGAACCCUCAAAGACAAAUCUUUUUCAAGGCAGUCACCAUUCCCCAAAUGCGAACUCUGCUAGCAGGAAAAUGAUGGGAUCGCCAAUUUGCUGGAGAUGAGCAAACGUGUAGAUGGCAGUUGCCAAAUUCUCACUAUGAUUCGUGUAUUCUACACUGAGAGGUGCGGCUGUGGACGUCCAAACCAGGUCCUGACUGGAUUCGGCCGAUUGGAUCUGAAAUGCACCAACAAGAUUCGGAAGAUGAGUGAAAUUUAAGCGGAUGGAUGGAUACAUUCUGCUCCCUGGCAGCUCGGGGGGAAAGAUGAGCCGCCAUUGGACACGCUUCCACCACAAAUGGACAAAAUGAAGAGGAUUGAUGCAAAGUGGGGAAGGAUGAGGGGAGAUUCGGAUUCGUCGCGGUGUCACUAUAAAUCUCGUUUUACCUGAAAAGCCAGAUCCAGGGUGAAGUUCAAGAGGGUGCAGAGGAGGAAGUGGAUGGACAGAAAUAGCUUGUAUCGCCGCCGAUGCGGAUCCUCGGGUUGGAUGAGGAGCUUUCGGAAUCGACCUCCGCCCUUACGGAUGAACCUUAUCUUGGCCCCGUUGCCAUUACUCACCAGGCCGUUGGUGUGGCCAUUGUGACCAUUGAUUGGCUCCGAAUCCAUGACCAAAUCUGGACGCGAGGUUGAGAUGGUGGUCGGUGGUACAGUAUUGAUGACAUGACCUGGAAUAUGGAGUGCAUGGCUUAGUUGCAAUGUUCGGCUAAGAAGACUGCAUGCAACCAUCUAAGCAUCUAACCAUCUAACCGUCCAACCCACCACCCAACCACCAACAAGUGAGGUAGAAAAACUGGAGAGAAUCGUGACAUUCAAAAAGCUAGUCCUAGUGUGUUAUGGUCAAGUUUCGAGUUCUUUUGGGUGUUGCUGUAAAUCACUUGGCACCAAUUGGAGGUCUCUUACCAUUUGCGGCUGGAUUAGGAGACUCUCGAGCUGAAGUAUCCGAGUUCUUCAGCAUGGCCGUUUGCAUUGUUGGGCACUCGUGGGGCAGCCCCAAGGCAGCUCCUCCAUCUCCACACGCACAAGGGGUUGACAGAUGACCGAAGAAGAGAUGUGACACUCGCUUUGACAAUUUGGUCUCCGGCCUGAGAAUGGUCAUAAUGACCAAUAUGGCGGGGACCACGUGACGAAGUGUCAAUCUGAAUGCCACAUAGAAACCAUACUCAGUGCCUUUGGCGCCAAGGAUGCAGAUAUCUUGUUGAAUGGCUCCAUCCAGUCCCAGGUCCACGGUGGACCGAAUGAAAAGUUCGGGCAGAGCCAAGAGCCCCGAGGCGACUAGAAGAGCUAAAAGUAGCCACCGGCAAUCCCGGAGCCGUUGCAAGCAAGAAUUUGUGGUUUUCACCAUCACCAUGCCUAUUAUUGCCACCAAAAGAUAGGCGGAUAGCCCUGAUAGCCAAGCGGAAAGCCAAUGGUAGACCUGUUGGGUGAUAGGUAAUACAAAAAUCAGCCAUGAGCUCGCAAUUGAUCAAUGAUAACGGUGAUCUGACUCUUAUCUGCGUACCUUGCAUGAUCCGGGUGUGCCACCCCACAACAAAUUACUCGCCUCCACCACCAACGAUCCCAAAACACUAAAUAAUAUCACAGCCACGUCACUCAGAGUGAGGCAGAGAAUCAGCACGGCAAAGAGACCGUUGCCAAAUUUGGUCCGUCGAAACAAGAUCACGGGCAAGGCCAAGAAGUUGGCCAAAAGUCCCACGGUGAGGACCAGAGACAGAAUCACCACAUUCUGCACCUGAAUAUCGGGAAACAUCACUCUCCCGCUUGCAUCACCUCCAACGGUGAAUGUGGGAAUGGAGGGUGAGAUGUGACCCACCGAACCUGAUUGAAGAUCAUCAUUGACUGACUCCUCCAGGUUGGAAGUGUAAUUGGUAUCCGGUCCUUUGAUGUAAUCGGCCAUGUCUUCCAGCACUUUCAUGUCAUUUGGAGCAUGUCAGAAUGAAUCACCCACCACUCGUUGUUGCCACUCGGCAAGGAGUUGAUUCUUACUCGGUAAUGAGUUAAUUAACGGCAAACUCACUUGACUUCAAGUCGUAUAAGUUGUGUAGUUCGUCCCAGGAACGUUGUCAGACACAAUGUAGAACACCGACGAGUGAGGACAUCUCGGAUGCAAUCUCGUUGUAUUGGAUUCCUUCACUCCCCUUCGUUGACAUGAGCAAAAGCUCUUUGAUCUCAAAGAAGAAAGUGAUUGUCGCGGUCAACCCGAUCCACAACGGGAUGGAUAGAUAGACAGACAAAUGAAACAACGUGGAGAAGUAACGAGAAGAUCCAAGUGGAUGAUCAAUACAAAAUCACUUACGGAUCUUUGACCAAUGGUCAUGACAUGAAUUCAGAACAAUCGUAAUCAUAGGGCCGGACAUGAUCCCAUGACACACUGCUCUUCUCGUUCCACCUUGUUAACACUUCAACGCAUGUCGUUAAGUUUUUUACAUGACAACGAAAUAUUUCGUUUCACUCGCUGCUAGCGAUUUGAAUCCCCAACUGACUGACUGAAAAAGUGAACGAACAUGCCUCGAUUUCUUCUACCCCAGUCCGAGAGAUGAGAUGACGCACGCCUCAAAUCACUUUAAGCCCGCUUCAAGACCCUCAUCUACCCAUAUACACUGCUUUACCCUCGGAAUCUACGACAGCAUUCGCUCCAGCGGCAUAGGUGCCUACUACUACAAUACCUUACGGAGUAGACUGCACGUAGUGAGUGCCUACUGCCAUACUGGCUUUUAAGCCCCCCUUGAAACACUUUUUUGGCACUCUUGAUCCUGAGUUGAGGCUUGAUAACUAACAGAAGCUCAUUGCCAUUGCCAACCCCAUUGAACUAUGAUUCCGAGAUAAUGAAUGGCUUCCUCUUAACAUUCAACUAAUAUUGCCAACUUUCCUCGCCAUGCUCUCGGUGAGAUCCAUCCAGCAGCCCUCUCACUGCUUGUUUCAAGCCGGUUUAUUGAAGGGAGCAUCAAUUAUGGUUUUGAUUGGUUGAGAUACCAGCCGAUAUUUCAGACCUCGUGAAAGAGACAGGUCUAGGUUUUCAAAGCUUAAAUCGUUUCUUCUGAAGCAGAGGAAGAGAGAACGACAUCUGACUGUGAAGAAUCUGAGACGGAUCUUCUCAUCGACUGUUUUUUUGCCCUUCCAAACAAUCUCUUUCACGCUAGUGAGCUCUCAUCAACUGAUGAAGUUGUUAAUGGUGAUCAAAUGGAGUUUCUGCUCAUUUGGGAUAGAAGGAAUGUCUUGAUUGGCGCAAGUUUUACUUCUUUUCAAUUCCCGACAGGACACAAGUAACAACAGAAGGAGGAGGCGACGACAACGGGUGUUUUAUGGACGGGGAGAGUCGUCAAUCCGCUAGGGUCGAUUGAAUUUUUGAGUGAAACGAUUCAAUGGGCACUUGAUUGUACUUGAUUCACGGGGGUGUUCAAUCAUUUUCUGAAUUUUUCUACUCUUCUCCCCCGAAUUCGAUUGAAAUUUCCUCCCUGCCUCUGCCUCCACCUCCAAGCUUGAACUGUACUACCAUCCCUACAAAAUUUGCCCCAAACUAUGGGAGACAACUAAAUCGCCCUGGACAAGAGUGUGACGUUCAAAGCUAUGGUUUUGUGUUGAAAUAUAAUGACGCCAAGAACUUCCAA